AAAGUCGUAACAAGGUUUCCGUAGGUGAACCUGCGGAAGGAUCAUUACCAAUCCAACCUUACAAACAACUGUGCACCUGUUUAUGUCCUUGGGAGGAAGUAGGUGAUGUUGCAGUCUUGUGCUGCAGCUUUUACCGAGCGCCUCCCAAAUGUUUUAAACAACCUGUUAAACAAUUUUGUUGACAAACUUUUCUGCGGCUUCUUAGCACAGAAAUAUUUUAACAAAAUACAACUUUUAACGGUGGAUCUCUUGGCUCAU
rnacentral:misc_RNA from 1 species